UUGGCAAAUGCUUUCGCGGUAGCUAGUCAUUAACAAAUCUAGGAAUUUCACCACUAGCUAUUAAGUACUGAUGCCCUCAUUCAUUCUUACAGUAUAUCCCC
rnacentral:rRNA from 1 species